rnacentral:rRNA from 1 species
UACGUAGGUGGCAAGCGUUGUCCGGAAUUAUUGGGCGUAAAGCGCGCGCAGGCGGCUUUUUAAGUCUGAUGUGAAAGCCCACGGCUCAACCGGGGAAGGUCAUUGGAAACUGGAAGCUUGAGUAUAGAAGAGGAAAGCGGAAUUCCACGUGUAGCGGUGAAAUGCGUAGAGAUGUGGAGGAACACCGGUGGCGAAGGCGGCUCUCUGGGCCGUAACUGACGCUGAGGCGCGAAAGCGUGGGGAGCGAACAGG